ensembl:lncRNA
CUCACCCUGUGUUUCUCUGCCUGUGGUACAGGUGGAACCAGAUCAAGUGGCGCUCAUUCUUGAACAGCCUCAAGUCAGAGCUGCCUCCUCUCAUCAGGUGAAACGGACUUCAGUGAGAACACCUGAGCAGCAGGAGCCCCACUUCACAGACUGCAGACUGUACCUGCGAGACACGAUUUUUCAGGUCAACAUCAGCUGCAGCACACUCACUGUGACGCUUACCCUUCCGCAGCUCUGAUUUGGGACACGAUCCCGGAUUGAAGAACAGGCUGUGUGGUUUGGAUGCUUCACCUCAGCACACUGAGCACAACUGGCACACACACAGGCACAUGUUACACCUCAGUGCAGUCAGUCCAUGUUUUUAUCUAAACAUCUGAUUGAUUAUCUGAGAAAACAGUUCCCGGUGAAGUGUGUGACUUUACAAAACCGUCCCUUUCACUCACUCACAAAUUCACCCCCCCUUACCCUCGUCUCCACCCAACACAUCUCUGUCCUUGUCCUGCUCACUCGCUGUAGCGCGACAGCUCGAGUCGAGGGAUGAUGUUCACGGACUGCAGCUCCUGGUAGAGCAGCUUUCUGGCGUACGGGACACGGCGUACAGGUUCUCUGAGGGAAAAGCAGGGCUCAGGCAGUGUGUGCACAUCAGGCUAACACAUACACAAGGGGCUAAGCAACUUUGAACGACUUUAGAAGCUGUCUUACUUUACUGUUUGUCUUAAAGGUUUAGGAGCUGUGUCUCUAUUUCACUAAGGCCUGCAAUGCUUCAAAUAAAGUACAUUAAUUAACUACAACUACAUUUUUUAAACCACUGAAGAAUGCAGAGAACUGACUAAAGCUCAAUAAUAUUGAGCUCUUAGUGUGUUUUGUCUACUCAGUUUGGUGUCUGCUUCUUUACUUGGUCCACGAUUAUCUCUGCACCAUCUUUCUCCCGUUGUAUCUCUCCUCAUGCCGCACCUUGAUGUGUCCUGUCCUCGGAUGUAUUCUUCCGGCUGCCUCCUGGUUUCCACCUCGAGUUUUAUUAUCCAAAUUUAAUGGUCUUGAUGGUCACUGUAGUGGCUAUAUUCAUUUCUUGAAAGUUCUCUCUUUCGCUUAUAUUUAAUAUAACCACACGACCUGACAAGCGCCUAUUUUUAUGCGUUGUCAACAACGAUGUAAAACCAUCGCGUGUCCGCUUGCUUAUGUGGAAAAUAAACAAGCGGACACGCGAUGGUUUUACAUCGUUGUUGACAACGCAUAAAAAUAGGUGCUUGUCAGGUCGUGUGGUUAUAUUAAAUAUAAGCGAAAGAGAGAACUUUCAAGAAAUGAAUAUAGCCGCUACAGUGACCAUCAAGACCAUUAAAUUUGGAUAAUAAAACUCGAGGUGGAAACCAGGAGGCAGCCGGAAGAAUACAUCCGAGGACAGGACACAUCAAGAGAACCUGUACGCCGUGUCCCGUACGCCAGAAAGCUGCUCUACCAGGAGCUGCAGUCCGUGAACAUCAUCCCUCGACUCGAGCUGUCGCGCUACAGCGAGUGAGCAGGACAAGGACAGAGAUGUGUUGGGUGGAGACGAGGUUGUGCUCAGUGUGCUGAGGUGAAGCAUCCAAACCACACAGCCUGUUCUUCAAUCCGGGAUCGUGUCCCAAAUCAGAGCUGCGGAAGGGUAAGCGUCACAGUGAGUGUGCUGCAGCUGAUGUUGACCUGAAAAAUCGUGUCUCGCAGGUACAGUCUGCAGUCUGUGAAGUGGGGCUCCUGCUGCUCAGGUGUUCUCACUGAAGUCCGUUUCACCUGAUGAGAGGAGGCAGCUCUGACUUGGGGCUGUUCAAGAAUGAGCGCCACUUGAUCUGGUUCCACCUCUACCACAGGCAGAGAAACACAGGCCUGGACUCUUUGUUGGCCAGACAAAAUCAGAAACGGAAAUCAUUGGUUUUUACAACUGGGUCCAGUUCCACCUGCAUAGGAUAUGAGGCCAGGGAGCAUGAUUUGGUUCCUUCAUGUAAUGAUCUGCUAGAGGGUGUGGGGGGCCACAGCCCCGUCCUCCAGGGCAUGAAGCAGGUAUGGAGGAGAUCAAGACUCCAGACAUCCAGAGGCCCUCAGAACACAAGAGACCAAGGAAGACCAACAGAGGCGCCACUAUCCCAGAAAGAGCUGAGGAGAGCCCUAGAUGAGGGGUCACUCAGCAGCCGCGGAGCAGAAGCCAGGGGGGGUUGUAGUGACGUGCCCGUGAGCUCCGCCGGCAGCCAGCUGUGCCAGAGUGACUGAGCCCCAGGCCGAGAGGCCGAGGGCACCCCAUCCCCGAAGUGGCCCGAGCGAGCCCCAGGCUCCAGGCCCCGACAAGCAGCCACCAAGGAGUGAGCCAGUGUGUACCUGGACGCCAAUCCCGGGACACAAAGAACCACCAAUGCACCAAUGUCUGAGGGCAUCUGCCACUGGCAGGGGAAGUGGUGGGGGGAGAUAGGCCUCCAUACCUUGGAGGACCUGAGAUGUCCCCAGAGAGGUGGCAUCUGAUACCCGACCUGACAUAUAGACACAGACAUACAGGCACACACAGAUACAAACAUCCAUUCCCACCCUCAUGCUCUCAUAUGCAAUUACUCAACACUCACCCAACAUGGAGACAGACAUAAAGAGACGCUGUACACACAGUCACACUCCCCAAGCGUACUCUAAGCCCCAGGUCUAGGUACCCUUGCCCCCGGAGGGGGAAACUGCACCCAGACCCAGGUAGUGUUACCCUUUUCCCUGGGGUGGAGAGAAGCAGACUGCCCCGGCUCGGCAGCAGCAGGGAGGCCCCACAUUCCAGACCCCAAUCGGGCGGCCAACUCCUCCUCCUAGCCCUCCCGCUCCAACAGGCUGCAGAGAACGGGGGUGUGUGAAGACUCCAAACCUCCCUCCGCCCGCUCAUAUGUAGUGUUGAUGCACGUGUGUUCUAAGGUGCAUUUAAAACCCAGGAGGGCGUGGAGCUACCUGCCAGAGAGCAGCAGGGUGGGGAUCCAAAUCAGUGUGGAGCACAAUACACCAUAGAGAUGUACAACUCUCCUGUUGAACACCUCAAGACUGAAGACUGCAAGGAAAGAACGCUAAUGUACACCGAGCAUCUGAAGAACAACAUGCAAGUGCUCAAACACAUUGGAUCCAAAACCUGUUCCAGUUCCUCAGACACCAUCAGAGACUGUUUUGAAAGCCCUCUACUAUCAAUCUGGAUAAAAAGAAACUUUGCCAACCACUGCAAGUAUCAAGUGUUUUAAAUUUUGUUGGUUGGUUGUAUUAAGUUUGAUAAUAAUUAGAUCAGUGCCUUUUUAGUCAUUAAUUUGAUUAUUAAAUAUUAACUGUUUAGGGCAGCACGGUGGCACGGUGGUUAGCACUGUUGCUGCACAGCAAGAAGGUCCUGAGUUCAAUUCCACCAUCAGGCCGGGGUCUUUCUUUGUGGAGUUUGCAUGGUUAAUUGAUUAAUCCAAAUUGCAUAGGUGUAAAUGUGAGUGCGAAUGGUUGUCUGUCCCUGUGUGUUAGCCCUGUGACAGACUGGUGACCUGUCCAGGGUGUACCCCGCCUCUCGCCCCAUGAAAGCUGGGAUAGGCUCCAGCGCGACCCUGAAAAAGGAUAAGUGGAAGCGGAUGGAUAUUAACUGUUUAAUUUAAUCAUUGUCUCUACUGGUUUUUAUUAAUGUUUCUAGCAAAUUAUGACAAAUUUUAAAACAAUUUUAUUCUAUUCUAAUUUUUCUAUUAGCCCUAUUAUGUUUAUUACCUCAUUUGUUGGACCUUAAUCUUUUUAGACGACAUUCUGGCUGCAACAGCUGCCAAUAUUUUCAUGUAAAUAUGAACUUUUGAAUAAAAAGG